ACCAAGGAGUCUGACAUGUGUGCGAGUCAACGGGCUAGAAAACCCGUAAGGCGUAAGGAAGCUGAUUGGCGGGAUCCCUCACGGGUGCACCGCCGACCGACCUUGAUCUUCUGAGAAGGGUUCGAGUGAGAGCAUGCCUGUCGGGACCCGAAGAUGGUGAACUAUGCCUGAGCGGGGCGAAGCCAGAGGAAACUCGUGGUGGACGGCCCGCA
rnacentral:ncRNA from 1 species